GUGCAGCAGCGCGGUAAUACCGGCAGCCCGAGUGAUGGCCGAUCUUAUUGGGCCUAAAGCGUCCGUAGCUGGCUACGCAAGACCGUCGGGAAAUCCACUCGCCCAACGAGUGGGCGUCCGACGGAAACUGCAUAGCUUGGGACCGGAAGGCUCGAAGGGUACGUUCGGGGUAGGAGUGAAAUCCUAUAAUCCCGCACGGACCACCGAUGGCGAAAGCACUUCGAGAAACCGGAUCCGACAGUGAGGGACGAAAGCCAGGGUCUCCAACCGGAUUAGAGACCCGGUAGUCC
rnacentral:rRNA from 1 species